CCUACGGGAGGCAGCAGUGGGGAAUAUUGCACAAUGGAGGAAACUCUGAUCCAGCGACGUAGCGUGAGCGAAGACGUCUCUCUGGAUUGUAAGCUUCAUCUGUAGGGAAGAAAAUGACGGUACGUGAGUAAGAAGCUCCGGCUAAAUACGUGCCAGCAUCCGCGGUAAUACGUAUGGAGCAAGCGUUAUCCGGAUUUACUGGGCGUAAAGGGAGAGUAGGCGGACUGCCAAGUCUGAUGUGAAAUAUCGGGGCUCAACCCCGGGGUUGAAGUGGAAACUGGCAGGCUGGAGUACCGGAGAGGCAGGCGGAAUUCGUGGUGUAGCGGUGAAAUGCGUAGAUAUUACGAAGAACACCGGUGGCGAAGGCAGCCUGCUGGACGGUGACUGACACUGAGGCUCGAAAGCGUGGGGAGCAAACAGGAUUAGAUACCCCUGUAGUC
rnacentral:rRNA from 1 species